CCUACGGGAGGCUGCAGUGGGGAAUAUUGGACAAUGGGCGAAAGCCUGAUCCAGCCAUGCCGCGUGUGUGAAGAAGGCCUUCGGGUUGUAAAGCACUUUCAGUGGGGAAGAAAGCCUUGGGGCUAAUACCCUCGAGGAAGGACAUCACCCACAGAAGAAGCACCGGCUAACUCCGUGCCAGCAGCCGCGGUAAUACGGAGGGUGCGAGCGUUAAUCGGAAUUACUGGGCGUAAAGCGCGCGUAGGCGGUCUGAUAAGCCGGUUGUGAAAGCCCCGGGCUCAACCUGGGAACGGCAUCCGGAACUGUCAGGCUAGAGUGCAGGAGAGGAAGGUAGAAUUCCCGGUGUAGCGGUGAAAUGCGUAGAGAUCGGGAGGAAUACCAGUGGCGAAGGCGGCCUUCUGGACUGACACUGACGCUGAGGUGCGAAAGCGUGGGUAGCAAACAGGAUUAGAUACCCCUGUGUC
rnacentral:rRNA from 1 species